UUUUAAAGAAUGGAACAGAGGAAGCACCUCUUAUCCUCUUCUUUUUCUAGCGGGAAAGGUUUAGAUAAAGAGAAAACAGAUAUUGAAAGAGUGAAGUACUCAGCUAUUCACAAGAGCAAAGACAUGCAAUCAACCUAGGUGCCUAUCAGUGGUGGAUUAGAUAAGAAAAUGUGGUACACAUACACCAUGGAAUACUACACAGCCAUAAAAAAGAAUGAGAUCAUGUCCUUUGCAGCAACAUGGGUGCAGCUGGAGGCCAUUCUCCUAAACGAAUUAACAAAGGAACAGAAACCCAAAUACCACAUGUCCUCACUUUUAAGUGGGAGCUAAACAUUGAGUAUACAUGGACAUAAAGGUGGCAACAGUAGACAUUAGGGACUACUAGCGGGUGGAGAGAUGGAGUGGGUCUAGGGUUGAAAAACUAACUAUUGGGUACUACGCUCACUACCUGGGUGACAGGAUCAAUCGUACCCGAAACCUCAGUGUCAUGCAAUAUGCCCAUGUAACAAACCUGCACAUGUACCCCCUGAAUCUAAAAUAAAAGUCAAAAUUACAAAAAGAAAAAACAGUGAAGUGCUCAUUGCUUACUCUUCCUAAUCUCAGUCCAAGCAGUGGUGUACAUUUGACAUAUAUUUAAUGAGAGCCAAAAAAGGCUCAGACCAUUAAGCAGAAUUCGAACAGAAACAUUUGGCAAGGAUACGAUAUACCUAAGGACAAUAUCAAAUAGAAAGUAAACAACAUUUACAGAAAAAUAUGAGCAAGACUGUUUUGACUCCCUCUUGAACCUUUUGGGCAGAUGAGAACUUUCUGGGUAACUCUAAGAGAGACAGAGUAAUCCACACACAAGUGGCUGUAAUCCAAGCCAAUUUGCACAGGUUACAAUUUUCCAGUCUAGUGCUUCCUCUGGGCCGUGAUGGAAGACCACAUAGAGAUAUACAACCAUGUGACUUACUAUCUACCCUGACUUCAACCAAGAUCAGGAGAAAUGCAUGCGAUGUGUGGGGCUCUGCUCAGAAAAUUUCAAGAUAAGGCUCAACUUAAUUCUUUUUCUUAUUUUCUUUUUAACUCAAAUUCGUCCCUUCAUGACCUCAUCCUUUGCCUUCAGCAAACUCCUAACUUACCCAGAAGUAGGAGCUGACUUGAACGCAUAUGUCUCUACUGCCAAUUAUUACCUCACUCACGCUGUAACAUUACUAGCAUAGAAAGGGAGCCCUGUUACUAGGGCAACCAGGACGAGUGCAAAAGUUCAGCCAUAGUUGGAGCCUCUAUUUUAAAUGAUCAAAUUCCAACUGUGUUCUUGACUCAUUUUAAAUUUGUAGACAUAAGAAGGAAGAAAGACAUUGUGUGUUAGAAGGUGGAGAAGAAUUUUAGGAAAGAGAAGUAGGAGAUCACCUUGAUCCCAGAGGGAGAGCAACAAGCAGCAGAGUCCUCCAGCUGACUCACAAUGAAAAUGUAGCGAGAGCAAGAAAUAAACUUUGUUGUUUCAGACCACUGAGAUGUUGGAUUUGUUUGUUACUGAGGCA